AUAGAAUGAUGGCCAGGGGAGAAACCUUAGAACUGACUUGGUCCAACCUCUUAAUUAUCAAGUGAGGAGACGGAAGCUCAGAGAAGAGAGGUCCAAGGUCACACAGCAAAGGAAAAAAAAAAAAAAAAAGUCUUAGGAACUUUCCAACCUUCCAUGUGGAUUUCCAUUCCUGGAAACCCCCACGCCCACCCCCACCCCCUGCUCAUCUAAACUGAGCAGAGGGGAUCUGAGGAGAAGAAACAGACUCAGUAACCCUAAGGCUGCAGAUCCUUCAACCUGGGACCCCUUUUCCAAAGAGGAGGAGUUACAGAUGUUUCUGGGAAUAAGGAUUCCUAGCCAUCCCCAUUCCUGCUGGUGAGGGGCUGAAGCUGCUGCAGGCCAGACUCCCAGACUUUCUUCGGUGGCAGCACUUCCUCCCCUGCUUGGCACCUCACAUCAUCUCUCUCCAGAUGAUGCUGGGGCUGGGGCUGGCUGAGCUCCAUUUUCCUUCAUCCCACCGAGUUUGUGAUGCAUUUUGCCUCUAGCUGACCUGAUAGUUCCUUACUCUAUAGGUUCUUGUUAGGUAGAGAAACUUCUAGGGCUUGUCUGAUUUUGUAGGGAGUCCGUGGUUACCCUUAAACCCUUUCUCAAACCUGCCAGGAGUCUGGGGUAAAUGAUAAAGAUGUGUUCCCAUUUUACAGACGGGAAAGUGAAAAUUCAUAGAGGGGCCUCCUACUUGUUUGGUCUUUCAGUUAGUCAUCCAAGAUCAGUAGAAGAGGUUCUUUGAGAGAGGGGGUGAAAGGAGCAAAUGACAACAGGAGCUUUUUUCUAGGGGGGCUUCCACAGACCCCUUCCAGCCUUUUACUCUCCCCAUGGUCAGCAAACCUUUCCAGAGUCUGAUUUCAUUCCCACUUGGUGACAUCAAAGCUGGGUCUCUCAGUGGGGGUGGGAAGAACAGCUGCGUACCCUCCACUCCUCAAGCGUUUUGUCUUGAUUCCCUGCCCUCCCCCCAGUCUGAAGGCUGCUGGCUCAGCGGGCCUCCCGUCGUCUGGGGAGUCUGGGUUUGAGCUGGGGUGAGGUGGUGGCACCAUCGUUAUGGUAACGAGCUGCCAGCUCAUCGUUGCUAAUAACUUGUCAAGUCCCUGGGCUCAAAUGCAGCAUGCCUUCCCACCAGCCCUUCUCCCCAUGUCACAGAAAGAAAAAGUGAGGCUGUGAAGGAGGGGCCUGUGAAUAAGGAAGUCUGAGGAGGUGGGUGGCCUUGUCCUUGGGCUUGUAGCUGGAGAGCUGGGGGGGAGGUCACUUGGGGCCUGAUUUACACGUAUGAUUAUAUAAAUUUGCAUCUGAUUGCCUGGGCUGGUGCAUGUGAAUACACUCAGAACAUACUUGUAUAAACCUGUACAUGCUAGCUGACAUGUUCAUGCGCUUCUACACAGCAGCCCACAUGCAAACAUGCCUCUAGACAUCAGAACAUGCUUGGGCAUGAAUACUGCCUUUACCAUCUGCACAUAAGGCACCCAAGAAAUCUGGGUUUGUGGGGGUGUCCAGGUAUGUGGGUGGGGAUCUGAUCUUUUUCUGAUGCAGCUUCAAAGUGUCUUGUUAACAAAGGGACAGAAUGGUCCCAGGGUUCCUUCUUCCUUCCAGUCAAGAGCUCAGAAUGGGAAUGGGCUCGGGAUGGUGUGGGGGCCCCAAGCUCCCAGCUCCCCAAGGCCCCUGCCUCUGUGCCCUUUGAGCUUAGGUAUUCCCUGCCCCCCCCAACUCCCUGUUCUUUCUCAUCCUCUUCUCUUCCCGUGUGUAAAUAUUAAAGAGCUGAGCCUGCAGGGCUGAUGUAGACAUGGGGAGAGAAUGAAAUUAAAAAGGAUUCCCUCGCCCCCAUCCCGACACCCCCACCCCGCAGUCCCCCCGCUCCUACCUCCUCCCCUCUCCCUUCUCCCCUCCCCUCACUCAGUGCUUCCACAUGUCUCUCCUCCCCCCAGUCCAGAUGGGAGCUGGCUCCUGCAGAAAGGGGGCUCAGAACAGGGUGUGGGGAGCUACCUCUCCUUGCCUCCCCCCACCACAUCUGCCUGCAGGGCUGGGAGCCCCCACGUGAGUAUCUCGUUAAUUUGGGGGGGUGAAGGUUGAGAAGGAAAGUGGAUUUAGAACCAGCUGUGAGUGGCGUGGAGAGGCUCAGGGCUGAAAGAAGGUGGGUGGGGUCCUCUCCCCAGGCUCCCUCAGGGAAGACUCGUGUCUGGGUUUCUUUUCUUUCUUUGGACCUAGAGGGAAGGGAGGAGUUCCAGGUGCCGCCGGUGGAUGGGAGCGAGGGUGGGAGGGGCCGACGAGAGGGGCUUCUGUACUAAAGAGGGUUCGUGGCCGGGUAAGCUUUUCAUUUCUGGCCUCCCAGUUUCUGGCAAUGGGGGGGUCACAGAGUAGCUGGGAGCUGUCCCAGGUGCUGAAUGAGACUCGGAGGGAUUUGCUCCUUUGGAACUGUCCCGGGCAUUGAAUGGGGCUGCAUUGGGGCCCUGAUGAUGGAGAAGCUGCUGGGCAGUGCUGAGGGCUCACUAGAAAAAUUCUCCCAGAUGACCCACUUUCCAAGGACAGAGUCCCUGGAAUGAAAAGACAGAUUUGGGGGUCCUCCCUCUGGUUUUAGGCCUCACAGUUGCUAACGGUAUUGGGGAAAGGGACUCCUUUCCCUAGUAGUGUGGGGGGCAUGGAUGGAGGAAGAUGUUGCAGCUGUGUGCUCUCUUCUGGAUAGUUUUUAGUGCAGUAAGCUUCGGGGUCCUGGCAUCAGCCUUUCUCCUAUGAGGUCUCUGAAGUUCAGGCUGACGGCAGAUCUGGAUUGAGAGAGUUUAGGUUUUGCUGGUUAGGCUGAGCGCAGGAGUUCAGGAGAAUUUGAUUGACCAUUUAGCAUUCCCCCUGCCCACCAGACUUUCUAAUUCAGGACAGGAGGCAGUGAAAUAUUCUGCAAGCCUGUCUCAUGCUUUGCCCACCCCAACCACAGUUUAGAGCAGCAUUUGGGAGAGAUUUUGUUGGGGAGGAAGAUUUCCAAGCAAGGGACUCAAGGAGUGGGUGGGGUUUUUUGGUGCCAUGGAGCAGAGGAGGAGGCUACUAGAGACAGGGCAGUGGGAAAAGAGGAAGAUCUGGGGGAGGGAAAAAAAACACACAACAAGAUUCAGGUUGGGGGAUGGGGUGUGAGUUUCAGUCCUCAGCUCCCUUGUAAAUCUUUCCCCACUAACUCAGGGUCAGGAUCAUCUCUGUUUUCUGGGUUCUUAUGUUCCAUCUUUGUAAACCUGAAGGGAAUAGAGCAAGGAUUUAUUUCUCCAGGUCCCUUCCCUUGUCAUCCCAGGGGGAUGAGAGCCAAAUGUCAGGACAUGCAGAUGAGACUGUGGGGGAACAACAGGCAGGAGGGUAUGGUGGCAGCUUCACCUCCUGUCCCCAAGAGAACAAUCAAAUAUUCAAAUGGCAUCCUUCUCCAGGGGCAAGGAAGGAGAAAGUUUCUGGAUGCUGGACAAAAAUUGGGUGUGUCAGGGAGUUCAAGAAAAGGGGGAGAUAUUUAGGGACUCCAAAGUGAACCAGUCCAUCCCUUUCCAGAUGUGACUUCUAGUUAAUAAGGAGCCCCUCACCCAUCAUGUUUUUGAUGUAGUUCAGCAAAGAUUCCUCCCUUCUCUAGCUGCUUGGGAGGAGCUGAGUUUUCCUAUGCUGUGGGUUCUGGGAGGUGGUGGGUGUGGGUGUGGGUGCCUGUUUGGGGAGGGGAGGUGUUUGUGCUCCACUCAGCUCCCUUGGUUACAUAACAGCUUUGAUAAGACUUUACUUUGGAGCUGCUGCUACUGCCUGAAGCAGUCACCCCUCCGCCCCCACAUGGAAUGUUGGACGUCCACCCCCUUCUCCCUGGCCCCUUGGAGAGUCCUGCUAUUCAGGAUCUAGUGUUCCAGCAGCUGCUUUCUUGCUGGGAGGUGUCGUCAGUUUGCCUCCCUGCUCCCUACCCAGCUCCUGUUUUCUAAAUACUUGCUUCUUUUACUCAUGUGAGUCCAGGCCAGUGGCUCCCCAACCCCCAUUUUUAAGCCUCUAGUUCUGCUUGCUCUUUGGCAGGGCUCUUGGCUGGGGUGGGUAGAGGGUAGGGGGUUUCACUGAAUAUCAUGAAGUUGUCCUCUAGGGAAGGAGAGAGGUUUUAGGGCCCAGAGAUAAUUUUCUUACUGUUCCUUCCUUUGCUCCAAUAGCUGUUUUGGAAUUUGGAAGCAGUGGACCAUACCCAGAGGUAGAACUCCGGCCUUGACAUUUUCUCUUCUUUUCCCCUUGUUGGAUUAAAAAGCUGUGAGAUAUGAGAGAUGGGGCUGCCUGUUGGGUGGGAAAAGGUGCACUUACUCUAAGGGGCACCUACCUCAUUGUUCUCUUGCAUCCCAGGUUGUCUGAGGAAAUAUUGGCUAUUCCAGGCAUGAGACAAAGGGAGAACAGAGUCCUUUUUUGGAAUGACUUGUUUUUUUUCUUCCCCUCUGAGUGGGUAGGAAAGGGGUGUGUCCAGGGAUGGGGUAUAUCCUGUCGAUAAUAGGAAAAACUUUCCAAGAAGAAGUGGGAGACUGGCAAGAGGAGAGAGCAAAUGCAAACUUGUGACAUCACUUGGAGAGAAUGUGAACUUCUAACUUCCUGAAAAGAAUAGAAGCCAGAGGAGGGGAUGAGUAUCUUUGCUACUGCAGUGUAUGUGCCUGUGUAUUUCUGCCUGUGAGUGCGGAUGUGACUGUAUAUAUGUCUAUACAUGUUUGUAUGUUGUAUGAAUGUGUACAAAUUUAUGAGUUUGUGUAUGUGUGGACACAUGUACAUGUGUGUAUAUAUGUAUCACUCUGUGUAUAUAUCUAUGUAUGUAGUGACUAUAAAGGCAAUUACUAAAUUAAACCUCUGUGUGCUCACCCAACAAUGCAUAUAUGUGAGUGUAAGUAUGCAUGUGAACAUACAUGUGGGGACACGUGUAUGCACCCAUGAAUUGACGUACAUAAGUUCAGUCAUUCAUGUGAAUAAAUGUGACAGAAAGAAUGAGAGAGAGAUUCUGACUACACGUUGGGGCUGUCCAAAAGUUCUUUUCACAUAAGCUUGAACUUGAUCCACUCUGAUGCCUGUGACUCUUCUCCAAAAACCAGGCUCCUUGAGGUUUCUCAGAUUAUCCUGUUACAGGGACCCAACUGUUCUCUACCACCACCCAUAUGAAGGGAGUUUCCAGAGGAGACACCUGAAUAGGCCUUGGGAACAACUGAGUGAGGGAGCCGAGCUGAAGGCUGAUCAGAUCAGAUGCUGUGGUGCUCAGGGGUGGAGGUGGGGAAAGAAUUUGGGAGCUCGAAUGUUAAUAUUACAAUGGAGGUUUCAAGAAUCAAGCAGAACAAGUUGGACUUAGUGGAUGAAAGGGCAGGGAUUUUAGGGAGGCCCAGGUGUGUGCCUCAGCCUCCCACAUGUGUGUGUGUGUACUUGUAUAUGUGUGUAUUGCUCGUCUGUGCCUUAAUAUGCGUAUCUCAACACAAAUGCACUUUCUAGCAUGUAUACAGGUGAACAGAUCUACAGAAAUGUACAUACCAACAGAGGGAUUUAUUGACAUGUACAUAGCUGACACACACAUACCUGUAGACGGCGUAUGCAGACCUAUAUGGGCAUGUGCUAACACUGGCCUGAUUACAACCCACGAUGGCAUACAUGUGCACCUCUCUCACCCAAGUUGACAACAGCCUACAGAUAGUCCCUCACCCAGUUCAUCCAUCCAUUCAGUCAGUGUUGAUCAUCCACCUGUGAUGUGCCACAUACUGUGCCGGACACCGGGACGGUCCUUGACCUCAAGUAACUUACAGUCUAGAGGAGGUCAAAGACCUGGAUCCACGUAAGGAGAGUGUUUAUCAGGGCAGUGGGAAUCUAUGGAGGGCUUGGUCAGUUCUGGAGUGGGGAAGGGAGGGGUUCCGUAAAGGAUCCAUAGAAGAGGAGGGCCUUGAGCCAAGGCUCGAACAGGUGUUCACCACAUGGGCAACUGUAGGUAAAGGUGUUUCUGUGACAGGAACUGUCCCAACUGGUCUCCCCACUUCCCCCCUUGCCAGCCCCUCCUCCAGAAAUUCUCCCCACAAAAGCAGCCAGAAUAAGAUGAGAUCAUACCUUUCCAGUGGCUUUCCAUCUCGCUCAGAGAGAAAUCCUAAGUGCUUAGUGGGGCUUGGGUGACAUAAGUGCUGUGUGUAAAAUAGCCUCCAGUGACCUUCCUGAUCUCCGGCGCCACCCCUACAAGCGCUUCCUUCAGUUCCGCAAAGAAGCUGAGCACAGCCUUGCCUUGAGGAGGCUGUUGUAUUAGCGUUUCCCUCAGCCCGAAAUGCUCUCCCCCCAGAUACCCACAUGACUUGCUCCCUCACUUGGUUGAAGUCUUUGCUUCAAAAGUCACUUUUGAGGGGGAAGCCUCCCCCCAUAGUCUACCUUAAGUAGCCCCUUUGUCAUGCUGUCCUCUCACCCCCCCUUUAAGAAACAAUUCAGGAGUUCCUGUCAUGGCGCAAUGGAAACGAAUCUGACUAGGAACCACGAAGUUGCAGGUUCGAUCCCUGGCCUCACUCAGGGGGUUAAGGAGCCAGUGUUGUGGUGAGCUGUGGUUUAGGUCACAGACAUGGCUAAGAUCCCUCAUUGCCAUGGUUGUGGUGUAGGCCGGUGGCUACAGCUCCGAUUUGACCCCUAGCCUGGGAACCUCCAUGUGCC
rnacentral:lncRNA from 1 species